rnacentral:rRNA from 1 species
ACUAGACUACUAAGUACUAUUGAGCUGCCUAGCGUGCCGGAAGCACAGCCACUGCGUAGUAAGUUUAAAGACGGGAUAGUUGAAAGCUACCAUCCUAUCCCCGGAUGGUACCACCACUGCCCACUGCCUCUUAAUCCCAAGCUAAGGCUUCUCCCUCGGACUCUUUGCCGAUGGUGUAGGUUCCUUCCGUCGUCCGCGCGUUUAAUGGGUUAGGACUGUGGCUCUCCAUCACUGUUAUUUAUUGUUAUGGCCCGCGUAAUCACAGACCAUUAACCUUACUCAUGUUAGAUUUAGGGAAUUGCUCCUAGAUAACCUCCCGUUCAUACCACGGUCGUCGGCGCCAUUAAGGUCGAGGUUAUCGCAUAUAAAUUCAACUUCAAUUUUUCGAGCAUCAACCUGGAACCCGGCCCAGCCGGCCAGGCGGAGUGCCGCUCGUGGCUGGAUGAGCUGGGAAGCCGGCCGUAGCGCGAGGAUCGGAAUUAACCGGCCCAGCACAAAGGCCGUAGCAAUGAAACUUCUUUAAUCUCACGAGUUUCGUUCGGUAGCGAGACCUAUGUAAUCGUACCCUAUUGUAGUAUCCUAAGGCCAGGAUAACACAACCGGAAGCCCUAGCCUCAUUACUAAUUAUCCCUGUCAGCCCCCGUAAGCAUAAAGUAUCAGUCUCCACUUUAAGAACCUAAAUACUUUCUGCUUGUUGGCGCUUUCGUAAACGGUUCCUACAAAAGUAAUUAGUUCUUACUUUCAACCCCCGAGCUUCUGCUAGUCUAUGGCAGGAUCACAACUGGUAUUUGCUACAGCUGGUCCCUAGCCGCCUACAACGUAUAUCCUGAGGCGGCUGUGGAAUACUCUUUAGUUUCAGAAACCCAAGGCCCCCCUCAUACCAGCGUUCCGACUUUGAAUUUCCUUAACUGCCUUCCCGUGGUGGUCCACACCUCGGACGCCGAAUUAAACUGAGUUGUGCCCCUUUGAAUGGUCCAGGUCUGUAUCGUUCCUAACUGUCCGACUCUCGAGAAAGAACUAAGAUACCCACCACCACGUACCGGCAAGAAUCAACCACCUCGCUAAACAGACCAAUUAAGGCAAUUGCUUGCUCUGGAGUCGGACGAUUGAUCGAUACGCCUCCGUAGGGAGACGUCGAUCGAAGAAUCUCCCUGAUAGCGGCAAAUCCGCUGCCUUCAAACUCCGUUAUUGUC